AUUCCAGCUCCAAUAGCGUAUAUUAAAGUUGUUGCAGUUAAAAAGCUCGUAGUUGGAUUUCUGGGAGGGUGGCGAUGUCCGCUUAACGUGUGUGCAGCGGCGCCCUUCCAUCCUUCUGUUAGCGUCUCUUGGCAUUCAUUUGCUGGUGGCGGGCUCAGAUAUUUUACCUUGAGAAAAUUAGAGUGUUUCAGGCAGGCUAGGCCGGAAUACAUUAGCAUGGAAUAAUGGAAUAGGACUACGGUCUCUUUGUUGGUUUGAGGGACUGCAGUAAUGAUUAAUAGGGAUAGUUGGGGGCAUUAGUAUUUAAUUGUCAGAGGUGGAAUUCUCAGAUUUGUUAAAGACUAACUUAUGCGAAAGCAUUUGCCAAGGAUGUUUUCAUUG
rnacentral:rRNA from 1 species